AUCGAACGCUGGCGGCAGGCCUAACACAUGCAAGUCGAACGAGUGGCGGACGGGUGAGUAACGUCUGGGAAACUGCCUGAUGGAGGGGGAUAACUACUGGAAACGGUAGCUAAUACCGCAUACCAUCGGAGGUGCCCAGAUGGGAUUAGCUGGUGGGGGGGGUAAAGGCUCACCUAGGCGACGAUCCCUAGCUGGGCUGAGAGGAUGACCAGCCACACUGGACUUGAGACACGGUCCAGACUCCAACGGUAGGAAGCAGGGGGGAAUAUGGGACAAGGGGCGAAAUCCUGAGCCAGCCAUGCCGCGUGUGUGAAGAAGGUUUUCGGUUUGUAAAGCACUUUAAGUUGGGAGGCGUUACCAACAGAAUAAGCACCGGCUAACUUCGUGCCAGCAGCCGCGGUAAUUC
rnacentral:rRNA from 1 species